UGGGGAAUAUUGCACAAUGGGCGCAAGCCUGAUGCAGCCAUGCCGCGUGUAUGAAGAAGGCCUUCGGGUUGUAAAGUACUUUCAGCGAGGAGGAAGGCGUUGUGGUUAAUAACCGCAACGAUUGACGUUACUCGCAGAAGAAGCACCGGCUAACUCCGUGCCAGCAGCCGCGGUAAUACGGAGGGUGCAAGCGUUAAUCGGAAUUACUGGGCGUAAAGCGCACGCAGGCGGUCUGUCAAGUCGGAUGUGAAAUCCCCGGGCUCAACCUGGGAACUGCAUCCGAAACUGGCAGGCUAGAGUCUUGUAGAGGGGGGUAGAAUUCCAGGUGUAGCGGUGAAAUGCGUAGAGAUCUGGAGGAAUACCGGUGGCGAAGGCGGCCC
rnacentral:rRNA from 1 species